UCCCUGGUGGUCCAGUGGUUAAGACACUGCGCUUCUAAUGCAGAGCACAUGGUUUUGAUCGCUGGCUGGGGAA
rnacentral:tRNA from 1 species